rnacentral:lncRNA from 1 species
GCUAACAAUAAAAUGCAACAUUGUUCAAUAAAAUCUGGUCUGAGGCCAAGUUCAUAGCAAUGCAAGAGUAUCCUAUUAAGAGAAUGAACUCUUGCCACUGUGGUGGUAGGUGUACAGAUACUUUUAACAAAAAUGAUUGCUGAUAAAGUACUGGGAAUAAACUAAGUGUUCCAUAGGUAAAGCCGGUUGACAUACCCUACAGGCCAAAGGUAACACAACGAAUAUCAUCUCUACAAUAUGAAAAUGGAACUACAUUGACUAUAAUUAUAAUAAAUAAGACCUCAAGGCAUUACUCCCUCCAUUCCACUUUCUUAGGCAUAGAACACCAAUCUCAGGGACAAACUACCAAGACCCGAGGAGAGAAAGAUCGGUUGGAUAGAUAACAGUAAUUCGAUCCAAAUUGUGUCAAAUCCUCGACUCCAACGCCUCGUUUGGCCUCAGAGAUGUGCACACUGCUCUCGGUCAGCCAUUCCUGCAUUCCAAUGAAAUUAACAGCAAGCAUUCACAUAUUGGUGAAGGUAGCUAGGAUACAUUCUUUUGUAGUUGCUUUGUCUGCCUCAUAGCCUGAUAAUGAGCAGCAAGCAUACAUUUAUUUUAUGUUCAGCAUCAGAACAACCAUAGAACAAAACAAUUGAUGGGAAAAAUACAACAAUUUUUUGCUCUGUCAAUGUCGUCGAGACUGUCUUGCACUGUAAGCGUACUUGGCUAGGUCCAUGUGAUGUGCGCUCAGCUGUUGUAGCUGCUGGCUAUAGUUGUAGAUAGGUUGUUGUUGUAGUACAAUUUAGCUUAGCAUUUUGACUGUUUUGUGAUAUGAAUGUAAUCAUGAUUUUGGAAGCAAUACCAAAAAGAAAAAAAGGUGUCUACUGAUUUGGAGUGUCCAUAUCUAACCUGAAGGGUGUAAUCUUCAGUUCUGUUUCUACUAGGGACAGGAAAAUAUUUUCUGAAGUUCCCUUGCUUAGUAAUGUUGAAUGUUGUCUUAUGAUUUGGAGUGUCAAAUUCAGUUCUCUAAACUGGAAAGCUCCAGGGGAGAAAUUCCUAUGCCAUUUAACACACACAAAAACAAACAGAUGGUACUCAUCAAUUGAAAUGAGGUUAGUAGAGGCAUUGUUGUAAAAUUUCAGCAAAGAAAGGAAGCAAGGCAUCAUGAUUAUCAGUCAAACAUGUAUAUGACUUGUCCAAAAACAAAAAACACAUAUACCUUCACAGUUGCGUGUGUGUGUGUGUCUGUGUACGGAAUAACCUUCAGUAACAAAGGAAAAUAAGAAUAAUGUUCAGAUUAGACUGCACCAAGUAACACAUCACUUCGAAAUUGCUUGAGCAAAUUUUUUUUACCAACCAGCAUGCAAUGGUAAAAAUCUGUCCAUCGGAAGCAUGAAAUAAGAAAGUGACUUCAGUACACUUUUCAGGAAAGAAGCAAGAUAAUUUAUUGCACCUUGUGUAUACAUCGAGAUCUUUAAGAAAAAUAAUUUGAGAAGGAUAGAGAGGCUACUUACAGAACGUCAGGGCACAUCAAAGCUAAAAAUCAUGGGUGACAGCUUGUUUCCUGUCAACCCAAGAUAUGGUAGAAUGAAGAUAUCCACAUGCAUAAGUUUUCCUGGAUGUUAAAUGAUAAAUUUAGUAGCUUCAUAACAUUUUAGCACAUCAAAAUACGACACACGGCACUGAAAACACAACAAAAUUGUAAUAAAUCAAAGACGCUUAUUUUGGGAUGGAGUAUACUGGAUAAACAUGACGACAUCUUUUCUACUGCGUCUAUCCUAAAUGAGAAGAAACAGAUCAGUUCCGUACAUAGUAAAAGUGAUUUGCUAAUCUAAAUUGCAAAAACCUGAGGGAAGUCCGUAUCCAAUUCCAUGAUACUCUUUCUGGUCAGGUAAUCCAGUAUCUGCCAACUACUAUUCUCUCAACCACAUCCUGAACACACCGCCCUUGUCCGAUUUUAGAGUUUAAACUCUAGCAUCAACAUAUUAUCCCUAUUAGAAAUGGAUAUAAUCAAUGGUACAAUAAACACACACAAAACAGAAAAUAAUAUGGGAACCAAUCAUCCCUGAUUUUUUAUCGGAUGAGAAAAGUUGUGUUGAGAAGAAGAAAUAAGUGCUAUGAAACGUGAAAGCCUGAUAUUCCAUAUUAGCAUUGUAUGCUUUUUGCAUAUGCAAGUCGCAGCAAAGAACAAUCUGGACAAACGGGGUUAGCAAAAGACCUGUGUAACAACGAAAUCAAUCCAAGCAGCAGUAGUCCUAUGAAGCGAAUCAUCGCGCACCUUUCGACCCAACCUGCAAUCUGAGAAAAUCAUAAAAAUAAGCUCAGAGAUGGUAAAAAUCAGUGUGGCUAAUAUUAGGGGGAGUACAACUUCCAGAGUAGAGGACGGUCCAGAGUGGAUGAUGAUGGCAGCAUAGACUGGUUUUUAAACGCGAAUGCAGCAACAAUUUUUCCGCAUUUGUAGGGUAAUGGAGGGCGAUCUAUAGAGGCCAUGAAUGGCGAUCUAUAGAGGCCAUGCAUGCUGCAGUGCCUUGGGCCGUUUCAGUUUUUCAUGGGCACUUGUGGCCGGCAGAGCAUACGUCGUGGAGGCGAAAGGAUAGCGGCGGCAAUAGGGUGGUAGCGGGAAGGUCAAUCAACAGGUGAGUUAAUGCGCACCUGUGGCCGGGGAGCGUCGGAGGUGGCGGUGGUCAUGACGGAGACUGGCCGGGAGCCCUGCCAGCCGUGACAGCGGCGGAGGUGACCUGGACCAGUAAAUCGGCUGAGGGGGCGAUUGCUUCCGAGCCUUAAUGGCGCUGGCGGGGGAGGCCGGCGAGCCUCUCCUUGGUUCCGACCGUCGGCGUGGGGAAAAUUUGGGGAAAAGAUGACUACGGAAAAGCUUGGUGUUUUUUACUUUGGUGGGUUCACGCACGAGGUGGUUGUCCUCUUCUGUAC